rnacentral:lncRNA from 1 species
AUGUGCGACAAGAAGCUGCGCGAGUGGUGGGACUUCAAACUUGAAGUUCAAAGUGCGCAAAAAUUUCUUAACUUGCAGAAGCAACUUUACUCAAAAACAGUGACUUCAAGUGGAGAAAAUCAUAAUUUGAGUGAUGUAAGUGGAUCUAGUACUCCAAGAUCAGACAAUACUUCAAGACCUGAAGGCUCAUCAUGUUUUUCGGCUAGUGGAAUUAAGCAAGAAAACUCAAGUGACUCCAAAAAACGCAGCUCAAGUAAUAGAAAAACUAUUCCUCCUUCAAUACCAGCAGACUCCAAUUCGUAUUAUGUUUCAAGUUCCUCAAGUGAGACACUUCAUUUUUUUUAGCCCUUAUCCUAAAUGAUUCUGUCAGUCAAAUUGUUUAGUAAGUCGCAAAAAUUCCCCAAUGCUGACCUUUCGCAAUUUAUAGAAGCAGAGGUCGAAAAAUAGAAGAGAUCUCAGACCUGGCAGCUUUUUUCUUUCUCUUUACUUGCCUUGGCAUCAAGAAGUCAUUACCCUUUCUGGGUCUGAUUGUGUCCUCAAAAUGAGUCUUAGGCCAGUUUUGACACGGAAUGCGGGUUUGUCAGCAUUCAAAAGUAUUUUCAUACUGAUCCUCUCUGAGUAACAAGAGUUUUUGUUGAAACUUCUGAUGGCAGAACACCUUUUAUAACUGGGUUUUCAAGCACUCCUGUCUGACUAAAAUUGCUGCAAAGCAAUCUUUGCUGCUUGCCUCUCCUAUGUUUCCAUACCUAUGAAUUUGUUGUCAUAGAACUGAUUGAUCAACCAACUCCUGGGCUGCGCCAUUGCUUCAGGAGCAGUGAUGAUAGAUAUUGCAAGUUACAGUUCAGCACUAGUGUAACAUAUUUUAGACACGGUUUUCAGAACCAUAUAGCGUAUUUGAGUUGAACACGGGGUUCACAGCAUGUUAGGAUUAAGAGUUAGUUAAAAAAGAAACCGUUCGGCACCAGCUGAUCUUUAUUAAUGUAGGAUCAACAAACUACGAGAAAUGGAGUGAAAAUUAAGGAGACAAAAUUUUGACAUAAAGUUUAUCACUGUAUUAUCCGGCUGGCUAUAAUCUAUGUAGCUAUUAGUUGCAAGUCUAGUAAUAAAAAGUAAUGGAGAUGAACUGAAUGAUAGGGUGUGAAGAAGAUUUGAGAUCGAAAAAUGAGCUUCUGUAAGACAGAAAAAUGAAUGUUAGAAAAAUAUUAGAAAGAAUUUACAACUAGUCUGGUCCGAAGGUUUGGGAUGUAAUGUGCCUUACCUUUUAAAUAUCUUAGUUAAUUGUAUGAUAUGAUUAAGACUACUAACUUUGAAUCAUUCACAAUAAAGUACUGAAAACAGGGUGCCUACGGGUCACAAAAACUGGGUAAUGUCAGGGAAAAGUCAGGGAAUUUUAUGAAAAAAACUGGAAAGUUGAAAAAUCGAGAAAUUUUUAAUAGAAAAGGAGAAAAACAAACAGCGCAGUCGUGACAAUUAAACUGACUCUCAGUCUGGUGUCCAUUUCAGUGCUCCAAGUUUCACUUCAAAUAAAGGCAAAAAAAAUCAUUUUCAACAGAAUAUUACAAUUUCAGUUAAUUGCAUUAUUAAUAUCUGAAGGAAAAAGGCUCAUGUGUCUCGGUCAUUUAUAGUGGAAUCAAUGGCAAAAAUAAUUGCCCAUUUCCAGUUCUAGGCAUGCAAAUUUUCUUUGUGAAAAGUCAAGAAUUUUGAUAAUUUUGAUCAGGGAAAAACCUGAAAAAGACACAGAUUUUUUUCUGCCCAGUCUGUAAGCACCCUGUAAAAGUAACUUCGCUGUAAUCAGUUUGAGGUUUCAAGUAAAAUGAAGUUUUGAGUAAAAGCGGAAGAAUUUCUUAAAAAAUAAAAACUUUAUUAUUCUUGCUACACAUUAGUAAAUUGGCACUAUUGGCUCAUGAAAUGUCUAUCUAUAGAUUCGCUGUAAUCAGUUUGAGGUUUCAAGUAAAUUGAAGUUUUGAGUAAAAGCGGAAGAAUCUCUUAAAAAAUAAAAACUUUAUUAUUCUUGCUACACAUUAGUAAAUUGGCACUAUUGGCUCAUGAAAUGUCUAUCUAUAGAUUUGCCGCAGCAGAUAGACUGCUUCUUCAUAUGAGCAGCUUUAUAUGCAAAGAUUGCAAGACUUACAUUAAAAAAUGUUCCUUACCAGUUGGCUUUUUUAUCAAGUUCCGAAUGUUCCUUAUCAACAUCCAUCUAAGUUACUACCUUAUUUUCUAAAUUAUCUUUCUAUGCUUUUGUUUCUCUUUAGGUGGGAGUACUAGUGGGCGAGAAUCAGCAGCAUCUAGUAACACUGCAAAGCAGACGAACUCUCUCCGUUUAAAUGAUGAUGAUGAUUGCGUUGUCGUUGACCAGCCACCGAAACGGAAAGCUCCAGUGGUGACUCUAGAUAAAAGCGGGAACAAAAAGCAAAAAAAGGCUGCAGCCCCGUCGAAGAUGACUAAAAAAAAUGUAAGUUAAAAGUUUUCAAACUAGGAAAAUCAGCAACAGUCAUCCGAAGAUUGGUUUUAUCUGGGGUCCUUUGUGAACCUUCAUUUGGUUCAAACAUGACGGCUAGUUUGGGUGCAGUUCAAUUUUAACAUUUCGCUCUGGGAAUCAGGAACUUUUUCAUUGAAAAUGAUCAAACAAAGGGAAGAAUGCAAAAAAUGAAAUUAAACAGAGGAGAGAAUGCAACAGAAUGAAGUUGAAAAAAGUAAGAGUGCAGAUGUCAACAGUGUGAGAAAAGAUGUCAUGGAAACCGGCCAUGAAAUCUCACGGGUUGGCGCGCAGUCUCAGUCCGUCGGAUUAAGGUUUCCUGUCAUGCAGGAAUUUUUCAUGUGGAAACACCAACUGAUACUGUUUCUAUCCAGACAUCUAUCUUUGUAAUCAUCUUUCAUUUCUCUGUAAGCGUCUUUCACCGGAAUACUUGCUGGAAAUAAUAAUUACUUAAUGACAAAACUAGGCUCUCUCUUCAAAUUAGCGCACAUCAGAACAUGAGAAAUGCCUGCACAACUGCAAACUCUAAUUCAAUAGACUCAGCUUGGGUGCCAAAAUUUGAGAUUUUGCUGUCAGUUUCCAUGACAGCUUUUCUGAAGCAUCACACACUUUUGCACUCUUUCUGUUGUCCACUUCAUUACGUCUCAUUCUUUUUUCCAAGUAUGUCCUUAUUUUUUGUACUCCCUGCUUUGAGCUGUUUUACAAAAAAAAAAUUGUUGAGAAUACACCAGGGUCAAUGAUUACAAGUCGUUUUUAAAAUGUUAUAACUUUAGCAAUUUUUGAAUUAGAGACCUGCCUAAGCUCUUGUUUUAAAUCUGUGGAUCCAAUCGAAAGCCCUGCUCAAACUGCAUGUCAGUAGCUUUUACGGUUCUCUCAAAAAGGGGAGGUGUGAAGUACUUUUGAGACUGCUUCUUUAAUAGAAAUUUUAAAAUCCAAAAGGUUUUUUUCCCAGAUUAUAGCAAAAAUUUAGAAGAAAAUAGUUUUUUGAAGUACAGUAAGACCUCAAAUUAUUGGAUUGCGAUUUAAUGGAUUCCGUGAUUUAACGGAUCGAUCCUCCGGUCCCUUCAGCAGGACCCACUACCGUGAUUUUACGGAUUUGGCCUCCGGUACCGUGAAAUCCGAUGAAUGUAGGUCUUUCUGUAGUAAUGGUAGGGGUAGAUACUAAAGUCUCACAAAGUUAAUGUCCCUUACAAACUUAUUACGGGAUGUGUUGUUCAGACAAAGUGUCAGUGAUAUUGCCAAUGUUCGUAAAAUUUCAGUAAAAAACUGUUAUUCUCAUCAUACACAGAAAUAUCUCAUCAGAGCACAAAUCUCUUAAGAGAGUUAUACUGUUUGCUCCAACACUAGUUACAUUACAACCAAUCAAAAAGGCAACUGAAGGCACGCGUUUUGGGUCUAAUUGGACCUAUCAUCAGCGCAGCCUCCUGUUUCUCUGCCUCUGAGCACGGAGAGGUCAUGCAAACCAGACGGAGGUUUGGGCAUGCGGUCGCACCGUAAGUGAACUUCAGGGGCGUGGCGUGAAUGAUCGAUCAUCGAUAUAUCUCCAUUUGAAACUAUGGUGAAGAAUCGAUUAUUGAGGUGUUCGCUGCGAACACCCUGUUUAUCAAUCCUUUUCCAUAGGUUUGAAUGACAGAUCCAUCGAUAUAUUGCAAAGCACGCCACGCCACUGGUGAACUUGUGCUCAAAUGAACUUUUUUACUCUUCAAUGAGAAUCAGUUUUGUACUGAAAUUCAACACAGGUUAACCAAAUCACCAACACCCGUCUGAAUAUCUCCAUUCAAACUUAUUACUCAUGUGUAGA